UAAAUACUAACAUUGUUUGAAUAAUAAGAGUUAUAAAACAAACAAGAUUCUGUUAUUUAAAGUUUAUGUGAUUGGUUUUCAUCAAAGUUAUGAAAAAAAUCAAUUUGGAAACAGGAAAUGACAUCACUUUCCCUGGACACAAGCCCUCGGGAUAUUGUGGGAAUCCGUCACACACAUGUUGAAACGUAACUGGUGGUAUUUUCUUAGUUUUCCUCUCGCUGUGUUCUCACCUCCACGUGGAAACAUAGAUUUUUAAUGAAGAUGUCAAUGUGAGGCGAGAUUGUGUGAUGAGCUGUCUGAGCAUCUACCUCAAUGAAGACCUGGACACACUUGUUAAAGAAUAUGUGGUAUGUAUCAGAAUAGUGUGCCAGUAAUUUUUCCAUCUAGAUAAUAUGGAUUGUUCAUGAGAAUGGAAUGGACAUUAGGACACAUUGACCACCAGUAUUUCAACAUUGAGUCCAUUGGGUUGUUUUGAAUAAAAAAAAUCAUGCAAGGUAAAUGGUGGUAGAGCUGUCACUCUGAGGGAAUUAAAUCCGCUUGGUCCAGAGGAACCUGAAGAUGAAGUUGUCUGGGUUCUGGCACCCACAUGCCCCUUCUCCGCCAGAAACAACAAUCCUCGCCUAAACAACAAGGAUGCAUGUUCUGGACUGUCUGCUUACGAACUCAAGCGCCUUGAGAACAUCACGCACAAGGAAGCCUUCUUGUCGUCUCUGAAGAUAUGGCAAGUAUGUGGACAUUUUAGUAAAGGUAAAGGACUAAUCAGCUGUUUUCCAUUUCAUUUGCCCUCUCCCUACCUCAGUCUCCACCCUACUCUCCUCUUAGUCUCUUUUUCUCUUCCUCCUGCUCUUUCACUGUUGUCCCCCACUGUACGGUCCUUCUCUCCUUCUCCUUUCUUUCUUUUGUAUUCACUUGUUAUCUUACAGGUGUAA
rnacentral:lncRNA from 1 species